AAUUCCUGGCCAUCGUGGGACUUGAAAUCAUAAUCAGCAUAAUAAAAUGAAAAGAAACAUGCAAGAUUCGUAUGACUAACCUAAAACAUAACCAUGCCAAUAAACAGGCUUAAAAAAUUAAAAAAAAUCAGAUAGAAAUCACCGUAAACCAAGAAUGAGUAGCCCUGAAAGAAAUGUCUUAUCCAACCAGGAGACACCGUUAGACCCUAAUGC
rnacentral:lncRNA from 1 species